rnacentral:rRNA from 1 species
AUUCGCCCUUAGAGUUUGAUCCUGGCUCAGAACGAACGCUGGCGGCAGGCUUAACACAUGCAAGUCGAACGGUCUCUUCGGAGGCAGUGGCAGACGGGUGAGUAACGCGUGGGAAUCUACCCAGUUCUACGGAAUAACGCAGGGAAACUUGCGCUAAUACCGUAUACGCCCUACGGGGGAAAGAUUUAUCGGAAUUGGAUGAGCCCGCGUAAGAUUAGCUAGUUGGUGAGGUAAUGGCUCACCAAGGCGACGAUCUUUAGCUGGUCUGAGAGGAUGAUCAGCCACACUGGGACUGAGACACGGCCCAGACUCCUACGGGGCCGCAGNNG